UUUCAUUUGAUAAUGUACACCGAAGACAAGGAAGAUUAGGACUAAUCACAAUUUUUCAUUUACGAAAUUUGAGAUAAUAGAUAAAAAGUAAUAGUUUCAUUUUAAUGUUAGAAGGAAAUAGCAGAUUACUACCUUGAUAAUGCUACCAGAAAUAAAAUUCAGUAUACUUGUGACUAUUUGUAUCAUUGUUACAAGUAGCGUCAGUGUUGCAAUUCCGUACUGGAUUACUGCAGACAAUACACUCUAUGGUGAAACAAUCCAUGUAUAUACAGGACUAUGGAAAUCAUGCGGUGACAUACAAGGCGAAAUACGAUGUAUAUCGUUUACAAAUGGAAUUCUUCUUUUUGUGGCCAUGAUCGUUUUCGGUACAAAUAUUGAUGAUCCCACUGGCACGAUAUCGUAUGGCUCCGCAUUUUACUUGCCGAUCCCGUCAGCAAUAUUUGCAUUUAUAGCUGCAGGCUUUGUUCACAGGUCAAAGCGGAUACAGCGGAUUCAGGGAUACAGCGAAAUAAACACGUAAACUAAAAAAAAUGUGCAAGUAUUAGUUUAAGCUAACGAAAAUGACAUUUCACGUAUGUCGGUAUAUCAGUAAAGUUUUGAUUAACCGGAUCGGAAAUUGGUAUAUUGUUGUCACUAUAAUAGAUAUAGUAAAAAUCAUUAUAGAUUUUGACACAAAAUAAAUAUUGAAGAAAUGCGA
rnacentral:misc_RNA from 1 species